GGGGUUGUAGCUCAAUGGCUGAGUGCUUGCCUCGCAUGCGUGAGGCACUGGGUUCUAUCCUCAGCACCCCA
rnacentral:tRNA from 1 species